rnacentral:rRNA from 1 species
GACAACGCUGGCGGCGUGCUUAACACAUGCAAGUCGAGCGAGGACAUUUAGCAAUAGGUGUUCUAGCGGCGGACGGGUGAGUAACGCGUGAGCAAUCUGUCCCAGACAGGGGGAUAACAGAUGGAAACAUCUGCUAAUACCGCAUAAGACCACGGUUUCACAUGGGAUCGGGGUAAAAGGCGAAAGCCGGUUUGGGGUGAGCUCGCGUCCGAUUAGCUGGUUGGCGGGGUAACGGCCCACCAAGGCGACGAUCGGUAGCCGACCUGAGAGGGUGAUCGGCCACACUGGAACUGAGAGACGGUCCAGACUCCUACGGGAGGCAGCAGUGGGGAAUAUUGGGCAAUGGGGGAAACCCUGACCCAGCAACGCCGCGUGAGGGAAGAAGGUUUUCGGAUUGUAAACCUCUGUCCUUGGUGAAGAAAGAGAUGACGGUAGCCAAGGAGGAAGCCCCGGCUAACUACGUG